UACGUAGGGUGCGAGCGUUGUCCGGAAUUAUUGGGCGUAAAGAGCUCGUAGGCGGUCUGUCGCGUCGGUCGUGAAAACUUGGGGCUUAACCCUGAGCUUGCGGUCGAUACGGGCAUGACUGGAGUUCGGUAGGGGAGACUGGAAUUCCUGGUGUAGCGGUGAAAUGCGCAGAUAUCAGGAGGAACACCGGUGGCGAAGGCGGGUCUCUGGGCCGAAAUUGACGCUGAGGAGCGAAAGCGUGGGGAGCGAACAGG
rnacentral:rRNA from 1 species